rnacentral:rRNA from 1 species
CAGUCGAGCGGCAGCGGGAGGAAGCUUGCUUCCUCGCCGGCGAGCGGCGGACGGGUGAGUAAUGUCUGGGAAACUGCCCGAUGGAGGGGGAUAACUACUGGAAACGGUAGCUAAUACCGCAUAACGUCGCAAGACCAAAGUGGGGGACCUUAGGGCCUCACACCAUCGGAUGUGCCCAGAUGGGAUUAGCUAGUAGGUGGGGUAAUGGCUCACCUAGGCGACGAUCCCUAGCUGGUCUGAGAGGAUGACCAGCCACACUGGAACUGAGACACGGUCCAGACUCCUACGGGAGGCAGCAGUGGGGAAUAUUGCACAAUGGGCGCAAGCCUGAUGCAGCCAUGCCGCGUGUGUGAAGAAGGCCUUCGGGUUGUAAAGCACUUUCAGCGAGGAGGAAGGCGUUGUAGUUAAUAACUGCAGCGAUUGACGUUACUCGCAGAAGAAGCACCGGCUAACUCCGUGCCAGCAGCCGCGGUAAUACGGAGGGUGCAAGCGUUAAUCGGAAUUACUGGGCGUAAAGCGCACGCAGGCGGUCUGUUAAGUCAGAUGUGAAAUCCCCGGGCUUAACCUGGGAACUGCAUUUGAAACUGGCAGGCUAGAGUCUCGUAGAGGGGGGUAGAAUUCCAGGUGUAGCGGUGAAAUGCGUAGAGAUCUGGAGGAAUACCGGUGGCGAAGGCGGCCCCCUGGACGAAGACUGACGCUCAGGUGCGAAAGCGUGGGGAGCAAACAGGAUUAGAUACCCUGGUAGUCCACGCUGUAAACGAUGUCGAUUUGGAGGUUGUGGCCUUGAGCCGUGGCUUCCGGAGCUAACGCGUUAAAUCGACCGCCUGGGGAGUACGGCCGCAAGGUUAAAACUCAAAUGAAUUGACGGGGGCCCGCACAAGCGGUGGAGCAUGUGGUUUAAUUCGAUGCAACGCGAAGAACCUUACCUACUCUUGACAUCCACGGAACUUGGCAGAGAUGCCUUGGUGCCUUCGGGAACCGUGAGACAGGUGCUGCAUGGCUGUCGUCAGCUCGUGUUGUGAAAUGUUGGGUUAAGUCCCGCAACGAGCGCAACCCUUAUCCUUUGUU